UGUCUUGUGGUGUAGUGGUCAAGACGCUCGCCUGGUAAUCAGGAGGGCGUGGGUUCAAUCCCAGCCAAGAUAU
rnacentral:tRNA from 1 species